GUGAAAUCCCCGCUUCAUUAAACAUAAGAAUAUACAUUGACCAAAUUAAACACUCCGCCUCACUGCUUCUAGGGCAAAUCCCCGCUUCACCGGCGUCGUCGGCACUCAAUCCAAGCGGCCAUCGUCGUCGGCUGCGGCAAUAAGCGGCCAUCGUCGGCACUCAGACUCCUCUCCAUCUCCGUUUACAGAAGCGAAAAUGCCUUAGAGGCUAAGGUGAGUAGUGUGAAGAAAUGUAAUGAGAAGAAUUUGUCAGCACAGAGCAUUGCGGCAAGGCAAAGGAGAAAGAAAAUAACAUAGAAGACACAGGAGCUUGGGAAGUUGAUUCCUGGUGGGCAAAAGAUGAACACUGCUGAGAUGUUUCAAGCUGCUUAUAAAUAUAUUAACUUCUUGCAAUCCCAAGUUGGAAUUCUUCAAUUCAUGGGUUCAUAUCAUGUAAUUUUAGCUUCUUAAUUCUUAUAUAUAUAUGUUGUAUUAUGUUAUACUUUUUGUUUCAUUUUAGUUAGUUACGUUCUUGCCUUUUCGAAAUCUUUUACAAAAACUCUUGUUUUUUUGAGAA